GACGAACGCUGGCGGCGUGCCUAAUACAUGCAAGUAGAACGCACAGUAUAUACCGUAGCUUGCUACACCAUAGACUGUGAGUUGCGAACGGGUGAGUAACGCGUAGGUAACCUGCCUGGUAGCGGGGGAUAACUAUUGGAAACGAUAGCUAAUACCGCAUAAUAUUAAUUAUUGCAUGAUAAUUGAUUGAAAGAUGCAACUGCAUCACUACCAGAUGGACCUGCGUUGUAUUAGCUAGUAGGUGAGGUAACGGCUCACCUAGGCGACGAUACAUAGCCGACCUGAGAGGGUGAUCGGCCACACUGGGACUGAGACACGGCCCAGACUCCUACGGGAGGCAGCAGUAGGGAAUCUUCGGCAAUGGACGAAAGUCUGACCGAGCAACGCCGCGUGAGUGAAGAAGGUUUUCGGAUCGUAAAGCUCUGUUGUAAGAGAAGAACGGGUGUGAGAGUGGAAAGUUCACACUGUGACGGUAUCUUACCAGAAAGGGACGGCUAACUACGUGCCAGCAGCCGCGGUAAUACGUAGGUCCCGAGCGUUGUCCGGAUUUAUUGGGCGUAAAGCGAGCGCAGGCGGUUAGAUAAGUCUGAAGUUAAAGGCUGUGGCUUAACCAUAGUACGCUUUGGAAACUGUUUAACUUGAGUGCAGAAGGGGAGAGUGGAAUUCCAUGUGUAGCGGUGAAAUGCGUAGAUAUAUGGAGGAACACCGGUGGCGAAAGCGGCUCUCUGAUCUGUAACUGACGCUGAGGCUCGAAAGCGUGGGGAGCGAACAGG
rnacentral:rRNA from 1 species